AAAUAUAUUUUUUAAAUCAAGAUGGCAUCGUUUUAAAAAACAUUUUUGUUAAAUAGAUUUUUUUUCAGUCCUGCCUGACAUAAUUAGCCCUUCUCUCCUCAGAGCACUUCACUAACACUAGCUAGGCUGCAAAGAAGAUGGGGAAAGGAGCUAAAAGGACUCCACAGACCCCUAUUUGCAUCCCAUUCACAUGUGCAAGCCCUUGCCGCUCCCCCACCCUCGGCUGAGUAGGAGGGAGCUGACUAUUCUUGCAGCUCUUGUUGUCUUGGGACUCUUGGCAGAAGUUCAAGGAGCAGCACCAGCAGCAGCAGGCGGCCAGAGGAGAGGGCGCCGAGCGCGCAGGCGCUUCGAGGCACUGUCGAAGAAUCGAGUCACUGGAGCAGAGCGCACAGGCGGCGGCUGCUGCUGCUGGAGUCCCCGCCCCAGUGCGAGCGCCCGGGCUGCAGUAGUGAGCGAGCGAGCGGGACAGGCGGAGUGAGCAGCGCACUGGAGUAGGCAGCCCAGUGUGCAGCAACCGGGCUAUGCGCUUUCCCGCGUCCCAGUGACUCCAGCCGGGAGGCUUCCGCGCCCGGGAGCCGCUUGUUUGCAGGGGGCGGGCAAUCGGCGGAAGAUCCUGCGGCAGCUGCAAAGCCGGAGCCUGCCCGUUUGGUCUCCGGUUGCUGGAGGAGGAGGACGCGCGGGGGGCGCUCGCUGCCCCUGGGCUGGGACAUGUCGUCCGCGGCGGUGGCGGCUGCUUCCCGCAGGCAGUCGUGCUACCUGUGCGACCUGCCCCGCAUGCCCUGGGCCAUGAUCUGGGACUUCACCGAGCCCGUCUGCCGGGGCUGCGUCAACUACGAGGGGGCCGACCGGGUGGAGUUCGUCAUCGACACGGCGCGGCAGCUCAAGCGGGCUCACAGCUUCCAGGAGGGCCGGGCCCCGCCGCCGCCCCACGCCAAGCAGCCGCCGCUCAGCGCUAAGGAGAUCCUGGUGCAGCAGCAACAGCAGCAGCUGAACCACACGGCCGUGGCGGGCGACGCGGUGUCACGGCCCCCGCCGCAGCCCCUGGAGCGCUACCCGCUGGCGGCCGCCGCUUCCUCCGAGCGGCAGCCGCCCCGCCUGGGAGCCGAGUACGGGGGCAGCCGGCAGGUGAACGGGAUCCUGGUGCCCAACGGGUUCCCCAAGCCCGAGGAGCCGCCCGAGCUGAACCGGCAAAGCCCGAACCCCCGGCGGACACACACGGUGCCGCCCACCCUGGUGCCGCUGAUGAACGGAGCCUCCCUGCCCGCGCCCAUCAGCAUCAACAGCCGGGCCGCCGCCGCCUCGCUGGCUGCCAUCUCCGGGGCGGCCGCCUCCAUGCAGGUCUCCGUCUCCCAGCAGCAGCAGCCGCCACCCGGGGAGCUGGGGCACAAGCGGCCCGGCUCGGUGUCCUCCAGCAGCAGCAGCAGCGCCGGCGCUGGCGAGCACGAGAGCAAGGAGAAGCAGCCACGGGGCUCGGCGGAGGAGCUGGGGGUCGAGGGCAAGGGCCGCGGGGGAGCGGAACAGGAGUGGCUGGGCAAGCCCAAGACGGUGCGGGACACGCUGCUGGCGCUGCACCAGCACGGGGGCCACGCGGUGCCCUUCGAGAGCAAGUUCAAGAAGGAGCCCGGCAUGGCGGGGAGCAGGCUGCUGGGGUACGAGAGCAACGGGGCCGUGGCCAAAGCAGGGGCUCGGGCAGCGAGGAAGAGGAAGCCUUCCCCAGAACCAGAAGGUGAAGCUGGACCCCCUAAGAUCAAUGGAGAGUCACAACCCUGGUUGCCAACCUCAUCAGAGGGGAUGAAAAUGUCCAUGACUGCUACAUCGUUCAUGUCCCCACCACCACCAACUGCCUCGCCUCAUUCCAACCGGACCACACCGCCUGAAGCAGCCCAGAAUGGCCAGUCUCCUAUGGCUGCGCUCAUUUUAGUAGCAGACAAUGCAGGGGGCAACCACUCCUCCAAAGAUGCCAACCAAGUUCACUCCACCACCAGGAGGAAUAGCAACAGCCCGCCCUCUCCGUCCUCUAUGAACCAAAGAAGGCUGGGUCCAAGCAGGGAGGUGCCAAGUCAGGGGACAAACACUGCUGGGGGAUUGGAGCCGGUGCAUCCUGCCAGCCUCCCGGACUCGUCUCUAGCAGCCAGUGUUCCCUUGUGCUGCACCCUGUGCCACGAGCGCCUGGAAGACACCCAUUUUGUUCAGUGCCCCUCAGUCCCUUCCCACAAGUUCUGCUUCCCUUGCUCCAGACAAAGCAUCAAACAGCAAGGAGCUAGUGGCGAGGUGUAUUGUCCCAGUGGGGAGAAAUGCCCUCUGGUGGGCUCCAAUGUCCCUUGGGCUUUCAUGCAGGGGGAGAUUGCAACCAUUCUUGCAGGAGAUGUGAAAGUGAAAAAAGAGAGAGACUCGUGACUUUUUCCAGUUCACAACCCAACAUCACCUGUAACUGAAACUGCUUGACUUGUGUAUAUAUCUAUAAAUAUAUAUAUAUAUAUCUCCAAGACAAGGGAAAUGUAGACUUCAUAAAACAUGGCUGUAUAAUUUUGAUUUUUUUGAAUACAUUGUGUUUCUAUAUUUUUUUUGAAGACAAAAGGUAGUGGCAGGUACAAGAUGGUACAAUGACAGAAGCAACUGAGAUGCUGCCAGGAUUGCCUUUGGGCAUAUCAGUGACAACCCAAAUGUGGGUGGAAGAAACUUGUAAUCUCUAUUAUGUGGGUUUUUUUUAAACAAACCUAAUACUACUUUUUUGAAAAUGAAAAAAUAAACUGGUGGAAUGAAAGCAAUUAGGGUUUCACAAAAGGGGCAUGCCCCGUCUUUUUAACUACUUUGGAGUACUCUUUGUAAAGUCACUUCUUUUGAUCCAGCCUCUGCAUCAAUCAGCAAGCAGACUUUUUAAAAUAAAUCAUUAUUAGAAAUGGCUAAGUCUUAUAGUGAUGGUUUUUGUGCUGUUUAGUUCAUUAGCAACACUGCAAAACCCCUGAUGUUUAGGUGUGUUUAACUUGGUCAUAAACAAUUGUUCGGAGCAGAAACAUGACUACAAGUUCUCAUCCUUGGGGCAAAUAAUAUACAUUUUUCAAUUUUUUUAGGGGGAAAAAAAUCUGUUCAACUAACUUUAACAGUUUGGGAUGCUUUUUAAUCAAGUGUUAUGAUAAUAUUCAGGCUGCUAUUUAAUGCAGAGUAGAACUUUUUUGGAAGAUUUUUUUUAAAUGAUCAUUAUUCAUAUUUAAAGUUCAGAACUGCACAUGCACAGUCAUUUUUUAUUAAGUGUUUCAAUGAGCACACAACUAACAUUAUGUUCCUUAUUACAGGUCAAUGUAAUAUUAAAUACAGACUUGCAUGGUAAACCAAUUCAUUGAGUCAAUAUUACGCUUUAAAAUUAUACCUAUAGUUCAGAUUGGUGUCUUAUGUAAACAUGCAGACAAGUUGGAAAAAACGCACAUAUAUACAACUGUAAAGGAUACUUUGGAACACUAUGGUCUCUGUAAAUGUGUAUUUAGCACUUUAUUAAAAAAUGGAUUUCAAGCUGAUAGAUGGUAACAAGUUCUUCAGAGUUGUUUGGCAUAAUAACGCAUAGUAUGGAAGUGUAUAUGUUUUUGAUAAAGUGAUAUCCCUACUAAAAACUGCAUGAAAGGAUUGCUCUGCUGUGUUGGCCAACUGUUCAGCUUUGAGCACCUUGAGGUGAGGUGGGAAGGUAACUUUUCCCGCUACUCAAACAUAUCCUGCUUCCUGGUCUGACUGGCAUUUGUGUUGCUCUCCAAGGAGGCCUUUCACUUAACCUUUUAUCUGGAGGAAGUGUGCCAAUAUGUUGCAGCCCAUCAGUAUCUUUGGACCUGUUCUUUAAAGUAGUUCAAAGGGUGGGAAUUCUCAGGCCUUGUUGUUGUACUAGGUGAUGGUACAUAGACAACACAGGUAGAAAAGAAAUGUCAAAAAGUUACUAUACCUGCUCUGACUUCUAGUCCCGAUAUCUCAAUUGAUUCUAAUAUACAUAAUGACAUUUCAUUAUUACAAAAGUGCUUGAAACCAGUAUGCGCUUCUUUUUUUUUUAAUUUUUUUUGGCAUUUCUCAAAUUUCAGUUGAACUAAGUGUGUCUUAUUUUGUUGCUUGGUGAGUUAUGACAUCACGAUCACUUUAUUCACUAAACCAAUUUACUGUUUCCUUGGCUACAAAGUUUUUUUUUUUAAAGUGCUUUAGCUGCAACAGUGCUUCUGUUAAUAUUUUAAAACUUUUUAAAAGGUGAUAGUUUGUGUAGUAAUAAAGUAAAGUGUUUUAAUGAAGAAUGUGUGAUUCUCAAAUCUCACUUUAAUUACUCUUUUUAAAGGUUUUACUUUUUACUGGAAUAUCACCUGCACUAUGCUUUGGUUGUUUAUAAUUGCUAAACUAACACAUUACUAUUUUUACCUAUUUUUUAUCUUUGGCAUUAAAUAAAAUAUUAGGAGCUUUAUGCA